AUGGCCAACAGAGUAAACCGCAUGGCGCUGGCACGCAGAGAGUCACCGGCUGGGCCGACGACGCUGCACGACAUCCCCGACAAGCUCCUCAAGCUCAUCCUCUUGUACCUCACCUCGCCCCACUGGCUCGUCCGAGCAGCGGCCACCUGCAAGCGAUGGCGCCGCAUCAUCGUUGAUGCAAACUUCCUCUCUGAAAUUGGUUCCAUCCCCCAUUCCUCAUCUCUUGUUGCAGGCCAUUAUCAUAACCACACAGCCCCUGUUGACGGCCGCUGCCUCAGCUUUGUUCCUUCCUCGCCAGCACUAGAUCUAGAUGUCAGUAGCCGGCACUUCUCCCUGGACUUCCUCCCUCCAGGCGGCAGCAGGUCAUGGGAGAUCGUUGAUAGCCGCCACACCCUACUCCUCCUCGCCAAGAAGAAGACUGGGUGGAGACGUCAUACCUUGCCUGACCUCGUAGUCUGCGAGCCCCUCACACGGCGUUACCAACUAAUCCCACGCAUGGAGGAAAAGAAAUACCACCGAUGCAUUGGUGUAUUCCUCCAUGGUUUCAAUGACAGAGGAGAUACCUCGAGGUGGGGCCGCGCCAUCGAUGCAAUGUCGAGUUUCAGAGUGAUUUGCCUGCUCUUCAAUGAGCACAUCGGGAUCGGGUGGAAAGACGAGUUUGAGACCGAGGAUCGGCUUUGUGGGUUCUCGAUAUCGACAACGACGACAGGGUGCAUCUUGUUUGCUUGCAGGGCGAACCUUCGCAUCUUUGCGGCAAGGCGGUAUGAUAGCCCCGAUUGGGAGCUUCAGAAGGGCAUCCAAUUAAAGGAGGCUACCCGUGGACUGAAAGGGCACAGGGAUGAGUACUUUCGUCAGUCUACGAAGAUUGUCUCAACCAGCACGAGCUCUAUUGUGUUCUUUCCGGCAGAGGAGAAAUGGCUAUUCUCCACUGACUUUGAGACCAUGGAGAUGGCGAAAUACGAAUACAAGACACUUUUUUUUUUGAAACUGUGGCUUAUCUCCGUGUGA
rnacentral:rRNA from 1 species